AUUUAAAGUCUAAUCUGCCCACUGAUAAAAAAUUAAAGGGCUGCAGUAUAAUGACUGUACAAAGGUAGCAUAAUCAGUAGUUUUUUAAUUGAAAACUUGUAUGAAAGAUUUGAUGAAAUAUAGACUGUCUCUAAUUUAUAGAUUGAAUUUUAUUUUUUAGUAAAAAAGCUAAAAUAAAUUUAAAAGACGAGAAGACCCUAUAGAGUUUUAUAUUUAAUUUUAUUUUAAAAUUAUAUAAAAAUUAAUAUUAAAAAUAAAAUUAAAUAUUAUAUUGGGGUGAUAGAAAAAUUAAAUUAACUUUUUUUAAAAAUUAAACAUAAAUAAAUGAUUAUAUGAUCCAUAGAUAAUGAUUAUAAGAAAAAAUUACCUUAGGGAUAACAGCGUAAUAUUUUUUUUUAGUUCAAAUAAAAAAAAAAGUUUGCGACCUCGAUGUUGGAUUAAGAUAAAAUUUAAAUGCAAAAGUUUAAAAAUUUUGAUCUGUUCGAUCAUUAAAAUCUUACA
rnacentral:rRNA from 1 species